rnacentral:misc_RNA from 1 species
GAUUUUUAAAAAUUAAUUUAAAGAUCACGUGAUAAGUUUGAAAAUAUUUUUGGACUCCACAAAUUUUUUUGAGUUUUUUAAAAUUUUUUUUAAAAUUUUUUAGUCUCAUUUUUAUUUUCAAGGCAGAGUAAAAAUUAAAUUUUAGAUGUCAUGAAUGGAACCGCCGAAUUGGACCGAUCAGGAUCAAACCAAUCAAAUCGGAUUGAUCCAUUUUUCUUUUCUUCUUUCCUUCCCCCGCGCGCCUGACACUCCUCCUUCUCCCUCACUUUUCUCUCUCCUCUCUUCUCCCCACCGCCAGCCAAAACCUUUCCCUCCUUCCUCCCUUGCUAGCACACCUCCAGCACCCCUUCCCAGCCGCUGUUAGCCUCUCUCUAGUGAGAAAACGUGGCUCAAACUUCCCUUGCGCGCGUGACCUUUCCUCUUCCUUCAGCGAUUUCAGCGAUUCCGGCCACCAAUUGGACCGGGUC